rnacentral:pre_miRNA from 1 species
UUAGGACAAUCAGUAAGUUGUCAUAAUAGUACUUGGAGUUUCAAAUGCCGGAGCUAAGAGCUACGAUGCAUUUGAAACUCCGAAUACUAUUAUGACAACUUACUGAUUGUCCUAA